rnacentral:lncRNA from 1 species
UCUGAGUGGAUACAGAAAAUAGAAAAUUAAAAUUUUUGAAUCUCAGACUGAGCUGAUCCAGUAAAAAAUUGAAGAAAAAUUAAGCUGAUCUAGCAUUUAGUCGACCUAGUGAAAAACUUAAUCGAUCUAGUUACUGUAGCUGAUUGUAACGGUUAGUUUUCAGAACUUCAGUCUUUUGCCCCCAAUCACUUUCAAUGGCUAUUUUCUUUAUUCCAAUGGCUAGAACUCCUUCUCA